CCGGGUACCUGUCUGGAAGAGAAGAAGAACUACGUUCCCCAAGAGCCUUUUCGAGUACUGUUAUCAUUCCUGCUCAAGGGAACAGAUAUAAGGGCGCAGGUCAUCUGACUUUCCCCUCUUCUUGUCUCGCCGUGUUCCCUGUCGGAUCGGCUCGCUACUGCUGCGCCCGACUGCACGCAAGGCUUCAGUAUUAGCGGUAUUCCACAUUAUACUCUCCCUUGGAGUAAAUGCUGUGGACUGGCUCACAUUUCCCCACUUCCAAUCUGUACUCUCUUUUGAAGAAUAACUAUUGAUAAGAGUACAUGGAUAACCAGCGAUGCUAACCCACAUAAAAUUCCUCAAGACUUUACCCUCAAAAUCUUACUCUUUCACUGGUCUGAUUCACUUCCACACACCAAAAAGCUCUCCUCAACUUGAAAUUCAGGCUUGGAUACUAGGAGCUUUCCCAGUGUGCUGUAACAGAAAAGCCCAGCCAGCAGGUGAACAGCAACUAGUAACAGCUGAAUUCAAGGAUGAGAGAUUAGAGGCCAAUUGUCCUCUGGGGGACCUGAAGCUGGAGAGCACCGCUGGGAGCAGAGGAGAAACAGGUGUUGGAAUCCAUUUCUGUAAAGUAAAUGGAGGAUCCAUCUGUGCUUUUCUACCAGUCUGUUUCUGCAUGGACAGGCUGUUCUUUCAGCACAAAUGAAAGAGGAUUCAGCUGGGGACAAUGGAUGAUACUGUGAGGACAGUUUCCCAGAUUUGUGGACAGUUUGGUGAUGCAGCUUCAGCUCCUUCAAAUAAACUGCACCAUUGUGACUGACAGCUUCAUUGAUAACCUCAUAAACUACAGGGAGAGAAUGAUGGGUGCUGCACACAGACAUGAUAUUCUUCCAAAAGCCUUCAUUGAUCCUUCUGCUUAAAAAUUGUACAACUAUAUUCUUAGUUUAUCUUGUUAUUGUGGUGUCAUUAUUUAGCUGUUAGAUGAUCUUUGGUCCUGUAAAACAGUUACCUAAAAUGCAGUAUAGAAGGUGAAAUUUUAUCACUCCCAACCCAGGUGAAUAUGCACUUUGCACAUUCAAGAAAAGAACAGUUUGGAGAAAAAAUGUAGUGACACACAAAAUACAGCUUCUUCUACACUUUGAGUCUUCAAUUUUUUAUUUGAUAAUUUGUUUAUACAAAUUUGUAGUUGUUUCUUAUGAUUAUAUAUUUGAUUAUAAACCUAAGCAUGUUUAUACUACUGAUAAAAUUGCUGUGUGAGUUGUUUUGAUACAUUAGCUUCAGUAUUUAUAAGCAAAACAAACAAUGAGCUAAGUUUCUAUAUAUAUCUCUAAAAGGAAAGUCACAAUCUCUGUGAAAAUGUAUUCUCACUGCACAGAGUAAUUAGUGAAAGAUGUUUGUAGAUUUCAUAAUUUCUGCUCUUCUCUAGUAAUUUAAGUAAUAUUCUCUUGUUAGCCAGAGAUGUGCCUGUGUUAAAUUAAUCUGUAAGUACAACAAGUAUAAUAAAUUUACCACAAACUGUAGAUAUCUCCUGAUUUUCUGAUGGUAUAUUAACAACAAUCAUUUAUUAAUUAAAUACUUUCCAUUCAGGUAUGAUGAGUCUUAUAUAGCCUUA
ensembl:lncRNA